UGGGUAACCUGCCCCUGACUCUGGGAUAACCCCGGGAAACCGGAGCUAAUACCGGAUACGACACGCGAAGGCAUCUUCUGCGUGUAGAAAGAUUUAUCGGUCAGGGAUGGGCUCGCGGCCUAUCAGCUUGUUGGUGGGGUAACGGCUCACCAAGGCAACGAUGCGUAGCCGACUGAGAGGGUGAUCGGCCACAUUGGAACUGAGACACGGUCAGACUCCUACGGGAGCAG
rnacentral:rRNA from 1 species